rnacentral:rRNA from 1 species
CCCUUCGGGGUACACGAGCGGCGAACGGGUGAGUAACACGUGGGUGAUCUGCCUCGCACUCUGGGAUAAGCCUGGGAAACUGGGUCUAAUACCGGAUAUGACCUUACAUCGCAUGGUGUUUGGUGGAAAGAUUUAUCGGUGCGAGAUGGGCCCGCGGCCUAUCAGCUUGUUGGUGGGGUAAUGGCCUACCAAGGCGACGACGGGUAGCCGGCCUGAGAGGGCGACCGGCCACACUGGGACUGAGACACGGCCCAGACUCCUACGGGAGGCAGCAGUGGGGAAUAUUGCACAAUGGGCGAAAGCCUGAUGCAGCGACGCCGCGUGAGGGAUGACGGCCUUCGGGUUGUAAACCUCUUUCGACAGGGACGAAGCGCAAGUGACGGUACCUGUAGAAGAAGCACCGGCCAACUACGUGCCAGCAGCCGCGGUAAUACGUAGGGUGCGAGCGUUGUCCGGAAUUACUGGGCGUAAAGAGCUUGUAGGCGGCUUGUCGCGUCGAUCGUGAAAACUUGGGGCUCAACCCCAAGCUUGCGGUCGAUACGGGCAGGCUUGAGUACUUCAGGGGAGACUGGAAUUCCUGGUGUAGCGGUGAAAUGCGCAGAUAUCAGGAGGAACACCGGUGGCGAAGGCGGGUCUCUGGGAAGUAACUGACGCUGAGAAGCGAAAGCGUGGGUAGCGAACAGGAUUAGAUACCCUGGUAGUCCACGCCGUAAACGGUGGGUACUAGGUGUGGGUUUCCUUCCACGGGAUCCGUGCCGUAGCUAACGCAUUAAGUACCCCGCCUGGGGAGUACGGCCGCAAGGCUAAAACUCAAAGGAAUUGACGGGGGCCCGCACAAGCGGCGGAGCAUGUGGAUUAAUUCGAUGCAACGCGAAGAACCUUACCUGGGUUUGACAUACACCGGAAAGCCGUAGAGAUACGGCCCCCCUUGUGGUCGGUGUACAGGUGGUGCAUGGCUGUCGUCAGCUCGUGUCGUGAGAUGUUGGGUUAAGUCCCGCAACGAGCGCAACCCUUAUCUUAUGUUGCCAGCGCGUAAUGGCGGGGACUCGUGAGAGACUGCCGGGGUCAACUCGGAGGAAGGUGGGGACGACGUCAAGUCAUCAUGCCCCUUAUGUCCAGGGCUUCACACAUGCUACAAUGGCCGGUACAGAGGGCUGCGAUACCGCGAGGUGGAGCGAAUCCCUUAAAGCCGGUCUCAGUUCGGAUCGGGGUCUGCAACUCGACCCCGUGAAGUUGGAGUCGCUAGUAAUCGCAGAUCAGCAACGCUGCGGUGAAUACGUUCCCGGGCCUUGUACACACCGCCCGUCACGUCAUGAAAGUCGGUAACACCCGAAGCCGG